rnacentral:rRNA from 1 species
GAUGAACGCUAGCGGCAGGCCUAAUACAUGCAAGUCGAACGGGAUCCAGAUCAAAGCUUGCUUUGGUCUGGUGAGAGUGGCGCACGGGUGCGUAACGCGUGAGCAACCUACCCUUGUCAGGGGGAUAGCCCGGCGAAAGUCGGAUUAAUACCGCAUGACAUCAUUGAGAGGCAUCUUUCGAUGAUCAAAGAUUUAUCGGACAAGGAUGGGCUCGCGUGACAUUAGCUAGUUGGUAAGGUAACGGCUUACCAAGGCUGCGAUGUCUAGGGGCUCUGAGAGGAGAAUCCCCCACACUGGUACUGGGACACGGACCAGACUCCUACGGGAGGCAGCAGUAAGGAAUAUUGGUCAAUGGACGGAAGUCUGAACCAGCCAUGCCGCGUGCAGGAGGACGGCCCUAUGGGUUGUAAACUGCUUUUAUACGGGAACAAACGUCGGUACGUGUACCGGUCUGAGUGUACCGUAAGAAUAAGGAUCGGCUAACUCCGU